GGCCCCUGAAUGGAGCCCCGUCUGCUUUCCUGCAGCCACCCCACGCGGGCAGAGAUGAAGCUGCUGUCUGGCAGCAGAGAUCUUCUUCGCCAUGAGGCAGACUAACACACACCUCUUCAAGGCAGAAGAGGAGGGAUGCUGACAACUUCCAGGCGACACAUGGCCUCCGUACCAAUUGAGAGCACAGGUGCUCCAGGGUCCUCACCUCCUCCUUGUCCCCUCAACCAAACUGUCUGGAGAGAGUCUACGGACAGGCAUUUCUAGUGCUGGGACAGCACCGGGGCGGAGGAGGCUGGACGCUCCUGUGCCCUUCUGCUAUCACAGGGCUGACCUCCAUAUGGCAGGGAGCAGAGUUCAGAAGCUGCUGCCUUGAAGUUUCUCUCUAGAGACCACAAGCCUAAGAGACCACCAGAAGUCUGCCUCAUAUCCCUCCAGCCAUUCCCCUUACCACAUGCUGGACUGGGUAGCUGGGAUUCUGGGAUUGUGGGACUGGGGUGGGGGUGGAAUUGAACUUUAAAUAAGCAACAUGCUAAGUCCAUUUCUUUGGAGGAGGGUUGAGGCAGCAGGAAUCCAAAGGGAGAAUGGGAGGGGGAGGGGUGUCUCUUAGAGGUGUCACAGAGCAUGCUGGGUCUCCUGGCUGAGCAGGGCUGGCUCCUGCCCACAACCUUUAAUGGCUAUUUGAUCCGCUCAUUAGCAAGUAUGAAACGUGGGGAGUCCAAAAAGGAAGAAGCAAAACAAAACAUAAGUCUGCAAUGAAUAAACUAACAGAUGGUGACUCAGUUCAACGUGCAUCCAAUCCACCCCACUACCAAGGACUUUGUUUGCCUAACAGUGGAGGCUGGGGAUAGAGAAGGGUCCCUGCUGCAG